UGACCUAGCACUAGGCUGCCAUUGACCUUCUGACGUGGCAUCAGAAGGAGGAUCUUCUGCUUCCUGCCCACCGUGGACUACGGGUAAUUGAAACCAUGGAGAAUGAGGAACUACUGAAUAGCAAAUCCGGGAUUCACCUCUCACAUCUCUAAUAAGUGUUCACAUUUGCAGAUGAUUUGAGAAACAGGUUAAUUUGAUUACCAUUGUUAAGCUUUGUCUCUGGAGAAAAGGAAUUUGUUCAAGGUCUUUUUACAGGACGGUUCCACACUGGUGUUGAGCUAAGGGUGACAUGGACACUGAAUUUUUCAAGAAUAAGCAGUACUUCCUCAGGAAAGCAUUGGUGAUUGUUACAGAUGCAUGUAACACCUGCAACUGCAUCCACGUUAUAACUAGAAGAAAAUGAAUAAAAUGUGUUUAUCUUA